rnacentral:rRNA from 1 species
GUAGGAGGCGAGCGUUAUCCGGAUUCACUGGGCGUAAAGCGCGUGCAGGUGGCUUGGUAAGUUAGGCGUGAAAUCUCCCGGCUCAACUGGGAGAGGUCGUCUAAUACUACCGGGCUUGAGAGCAGAAGAGGAAGAUGGAAUUCCCGGUGUAGUGGUGAAAUGCGUAGAUAUCGGGAGGAACACCAGUGGCGAAGGCGAUCUUCUGGUCUGUUUCUGACACUCAGACGCGACAGCUAGGGUAGUAAACGGGAUUAGAGACCCCGGUAAUCCUAGCCGUAAACGAUGUAAACUUGGCGUUGGUGGGUUAAACUCCAUCAGUGCCGCAGCAAACGCGAUAAGUUUACCGCCUGGGGACUACGGCCGCAAGGUUAAA